CCCCGGGCUCAACCUGGGAAUUGCAUUUAAAACUGUCCAGCUAGAGUCUUGUAGAGGGGGGUAGAAUUCCAGGUGUAGCGGUGAAAUGCGUAGAGAUCUGGGGGAAUACCGGUGGUGAAGGCGGCCCCCUGGACAAAGACUGACGUUCAGGUGCGAAAGCGUGGGGAGCAAACCAGGAUUAGGUACCCUGGUAGUCCACGCCGUAAACGAUGUUUAUUGGGCGGCCUGGGUCCCUUGAGACUUGGCUUUCCGGAGCUAACGCGUUAACUGGACCGCAUGGGGAGUACGGGCCGCAAAGGUUAAAACUCAAAUGAAUUGACGGGGGCCCGCACAAGCGGUGGAGCAUGUGGUUUACUUCGAUGCAACGUGAAGAACUUUACCUGGCCUUGACAUGUGGGGAAUCCUCCAGAGAUGCGUGAGUGCCUUCGGGAAUCAGAACACAGGUGCUGCAGGGCUGUAGUCAUCUUGGGUCGUGAGAUGUUGGGUUAAGUCCCGAACCGUGGGCAACCCCUGUCCUUGGUUGCCAGCAGGUAAUGGUGGGAACUCAAGGGUGCCUCCCCGGUGCUAAACCGGAGGAAGGUGGGGAGGACGUCAAGUCCUCAUGGCCCUUUCGUCCAGGGCUACCCACGUGCUACAAUGGCGUGUACAGAGGGCUGC
rnacentral:rRNA from 1 species